rnacentral:sRNA from 1 species
AUGUACCACUCGUACACUCCGGUUCCUGUGCACCGUCCACGCCCACCUGACGACCGCUCGCUACGUUUUGUUAGCC